AGUGAACGCUGGCGGUAGGCCUAACACAUGCAAGUCGAACGGCAGCACAGUAAGAGCUUGCUCUUACGGGUGGCGAGUGGCGGACGGGUGAGGAAUACAUCGGAAUCUACUUUUUCGUGGGGGAUAACGUAGGGAAACUUACGCUAAUACCGCAUACGACCUACGGGUGAAAGCAGGGGAUCUUCGGACCUUGCGCGAUUGAAUGAGCCGAUGUCGGAUUAGCUAGUUGGCGGGGUAAAGGCCCACCAAGGCGACGAUCCGUAGCUGGUCUGAGAGGAUGAUCAGCCACCCUGCAACUGAGACACGGUCCAGACUCCUACGGGAGGCCGCAGUGGGGAAUAUUGGACAAUGGGCGCAAGCCUGAUCCAGCCAUACCGCGUGGGUGAAGAAGGCCUUCGGGUUGUAAAGCCCUUUUGUUGGGAAAGAAAAGCAGCAGGUUAAUACCCCGCUGUUCUGACGGUACCCAAAGAAUAAGCACCGGCUAACUUCGUG
rnacentral:rRNA from 1 species